ensembl:lncRNA
AUGACAGUUAAAGGCAGUUCAUCAUUGAAUUCAGUGAUGUCAUCUCAGUUCAGUUUAAAUAGUAUGUUUCGUCUGGUCAGAGGAGAACUGGCCCCCCAACUGAGCCUGGUUUCUCCCAAGGUUUUUUCUCCAUUCUGUCACCGAUGGAGUUUUGGUUCCUUGCCGCUGUCGCCUCUGGCUUACUUAGUUGGGGACACUUCAUUUACAGCGAUAUCGUUGACUUGAUUGCAACUUAUUGCACAGAUACUAUUUAAACUGAACUGAGAUGAUGACAUCACUGAAUUCAAUGAUGAACUGCCUUUAACUGUCAUUUUGCAUUAUUGACACACUGUUUUCCUAAUUAAUGUUGUUCAGUUGCUUUGGCGCAAUCUUUUUUGUUUAAAGCGCUAUAUUAAUAAAGGUGACUUGACUUGACUUGACUUGACUUAAUGUAGAAGAAUGCAGAUGUGCAAGAAAACUUUCUGCUUUUAUUAUUUCCAUACAGUGUAUGCCAUUUAUGCCUUAAACAAUGUUAAUGUUCAUGUUAAGUAUGUUAAAGAUACUUAAAUAUUUUUAAACACAUACAUGUUUACCUUCCUCAGUAUUGCCGCACUGUAGGAAUAGUGGUUUAAGCAAAUUAAGUUUACAGUGCAUUUUGUUGCACACUUUUUGCACACAGCAGGCUUUCAAGAAAAAAGUGAUAGAAAAAGUAAUGGGGGCCUGUGCCCCAGUAGAGCUUUAGGUCUAGCAACGCCCCUGACCCCCACCUAUAGUACCAGAUGUAUUUCUGUCUUUGCCGUGUUUUUUUUUUUUUUUUGGAAAAAUGCUUACCAAUGUUUAUUAUCAUCAUCAUCAUCAUGUUAGUGGUUAAAUGGAUCGUAGUUGAUCCCUGAUCCAUACGGAGCAAGCCCCAUGGUUCGACACGCAUGUGAUCUGUGGUUUAAUUGAAAAAUGUAACCAUAAUAGAGUAUAAGUUUAUCAUUUGUUCGUAUUUUCACAAGCAAGUGAAUUUUAAAUAAUUCCAGAGAGAAAAGGUGAAAGGAAACUGGAUUCGUUACUCACCCGCUGUUCUAUGCGCACAACUGCAACGGUGCGCGAACACCGAACUGAAUCCUCUUCUGAAUCCUCUGAACAGACACAUACACAUAAAAUUAUGACAAAAUACCCAUCUCGACAAUCAUUCAGGUAAAUGCAGUCAGCUAUGUCUCAAGUGAAUGAAAACAGCUGAGAAAGAAAUCGGAUGUGAUGUGUAUCAUUAUAUCACAUCCGUGCAUCAGAUCUUAAUCUAUAUUGACUCAUUCAUUUCGGUUUUCAGACUGCUUGUGGGCAUGUGAGGCAGGCAUUAUCACAUUGACACAGUAGCCAGUCAAUCAUAGUGAUGAAAAGAACAUGAUAGGCAGGUAUUAUAGCAUUGCCAGGAUAAUGAGCCAAUGAUCAUUUCCUCCUUUCAUGUAGCUUUUCGCCUCAUUACCCAC